rnacentral:rRNA from 1 species
GAGUUUGAUCCUGGCUCAGGAUGAACGCUGGCGGCGUGCUUAACACAUGCAAGUCGAACGGGAAACCUUUUAUUGAAGCUUCGGCAGAUUUAGAUUGUUUCUAGUGGCGGACGGGUGAGUAACGCGUGGGUAACCUGCCUUAUACAGGGGGAUAACAGUCAGAAAUGACUGCUAAUACCGCAUAAGCGCACAGAGCUGCAUGGCUCGGUGUGAAAAACUCCGGUGGUAUAAGAUGGACCCGCGUUGGAUUAGCUUGUUGGUGAGGUAACGGCCCACCAAGGCGACGAUCCAUAGCCGGCCUGAGAGGGUGAACGGCCACAUUGGGACUGAGACACGGCCCAGACUCCUACGGGAGGCAGCAGUGGGGAAUAUUGCACAAUGGGGGAAACCCUGAUGCAGCGACGCCGCGUGAAGGAAGAAGUAUCUCGGUAUGUAAACUUCUAUCAGCAGGGAAGAUAGUGACGGUACCUGACUAAGAAGCCCCGGCUAACUACGUGCCAGCCGCCGCGGUAAUAC